CUUGGCCGGGAUCGCCAUCCACCAGCGCGUUGCGCCCGUGGGUGCCGUUGCC
rnacentral:sRNA from 2 species